ACAUCAUUCCAACUUCCUCGGC
rnacentral:miRNA from 14 species